CUUCCGUAGGUGAACCUGCGGAAGGAUCAUUAAAAAAUUGGACUCUACGAGAGUCUAUUAAUAAUCCUCACCCUUUGUGAAUUUGUUUGUUUGAAAUAAUUUUUUUUAAAAAAUUAUUGAAUGUCUUUCCCUAGUUUGUUUUGGCUUUGCUUGAAACAUCUAGGGGAAUGGCAAACAAUAAUAUUUUAAAGACUUUUUUUAAAAUAAAACUUUUGUAUUCAUUUGUCUAAAAUUAUUUUUAUAAUAUAAAAACAACUUUUGACAAUGGAUCUCUUGGUUCUCGCAACGAUGAAGAACGCAGCAAAAUGCGAUAAGUAGUGUGAAUUGCAGAAUACGUGAAUCAUCGAAUCUUCGAACGCAUAUUGCACUUUUUUAGUUUACUAAAAAAGUAUGUCUGUUUGAGUAUCAGUAAAAUAUUCUCAUAAAAAAUUUAUUUUUUAUGGUUAUGAGUGUUUUACAACGAUAACAAGUUGUUUCACUUUAAAUUCUUUGUUAUCAAAAAAAAUCAUUAAACUAAUUUUAAAGAUUUUUUUUAAAAUUGGAUAAAAUUUUCCUGUAAAAAGGAAUAACCUAAACAAUUUUAAAAAAUAUUAAAAUUAGCGAUUUCUUUUGACAUAAAAAGGAAAAGUCAAAUUAACUUGAUCUCAAAUCAGAUAAGAGUACCCGCUGAACUUAAGCAUAUCAAUAAGCGGAGGAAAAGAAACUAACUAGGAUUCCCUUAGUAACGGCGAGUGAAGCGGGAAGAGCUCAAAUUUGAAAUCUUCAAGGUUCUACCUUGACGAAUUGUAGUUUAAAGAAGUGUUUUCUGUUGGAGUUUUGGUAAAAGUUCUUUGGAAUAGGACAUCAUAGAGGGUGAGAAUCCCGUAUUUGACCAUUAUUUCCAGCUGUGUGAUACACUUUCAAAGAGUCGGAUUGUUUGGGAAUGCAGUCCAAAAUGGGUGGUAAAUUUCAUCUAAAGCUAAAUACUGGCGAGAGACCGAUAGCGAACAAGUACCGUGAGGGAAAGAUGAAAAGAACUUUGAAAAGAGAGUUAAACAGUACGUGAAAUUGUCAAAAGGGAAGCGUUUGACACCAGUGUUGUUUUCUCGAAAAUCAAUUAAAAAUGACCGGAUUUUGUGUUGUAUUGACUUUAUCAGCUUUCUGCACUUUUUUCCUGUCUUUUUUAAUGCACUUUUCGUUUAACAAGUCAACAUCAAUUUCUUUUGUUGUAAAAGGGUCAUUGGAAGGUGGCUUUCUUUUCGGAGAAAGUGUUUAUAGCCUUUGACUUCUGCAAUCGGAGAGACUGAGGUCUGCAGCGUAGACUCUUCGGGGUUAAAUACAUCUGUGCUAAGCUAUAGCCUUUCAUAGACAACUUGUUGACUAUAUCAGUCAUGUGGCUUACUCGCUUAUGCUAUUUUACCUACGCUUAGGAUGUUG
rnacentral:misc_RNA from 1 species